GAUGAACGCUGGCGGCGUGCUUAACACAUGCAAGUCGAGCGGUGAAGCCCUUCGGGGUGGAUCAGCGGCGAACGGGUGAGUAACACGUGGACAAUCUGCCCUGCACUCUGGGAUAAGCCCGGGAAACUGGGUCUAAUACCGGAUAACACCUCCUGUCGCAUGGCGGGAGGUUGAAAGUUCCGGCGGUGCAGGAUGAGUCCGCGGCCUAUCAGCUUGAUGGUGGGGUAGGGCCUACCAUGGCGACGACGGGUAGCCGGCCUGAGAGGGCGACCGGCCACACUGGGACUGAGACACGGCCCAGACUCCUACGGGAGGCAGCAGUGGGGAAUAUUGCGCAAUGGGCGAAAGCCUGACGCAGCGACGCCGCGUGAGGGAUGACGGCCU
rnacentral:rRNA from 1 species